rnacentral:rRNA from 1 species
GAUGAACGCUAGCGGCAGGCCUAAUACAUGCAAGCCGAACGGUAAUUCUGAUAGCAAUAUUGGAACUAGAGUGGCGUAAGGGUGCGUAACACGUAUGCAAUCUACCCGCAACAGGAGGAUAGCUCCCCGAAAGGGGAAUUAACCCUCCAUGAGAUCACACGAGGGCAUCCGAGAGUGAUUAAAUUUGAGGAGGUUGUGGAUGAGCAUGCGACUGAUAGCUAGUUGGCAGUGUAACGGACUACCAAGGCGAUGAUCAGUAGGGGAACUGAGAGG